UACGUAGGUGACAAGCGUUGUCCGGAUUUACUGGGCGUAAAGAGCGCGCAGGCGGUCGAUCAAGUCGAGUGUGAAAGCCCCCGGCUCAACUGGGGAGGGUCAUUCGAUACUGAUCGACUCGAAGGCAGGAGAGGGUAGUGGAAUUCCCGGUGUAGUGGUGAAAUGCGUAGAUAUCAGGAGGAACACCAAUGGCGAAGGCAGCACUCUGGGACGUGACUGACGCUGAGACGCGAAAGCGUGGGGAGCAAACAGG
rnacentral:rRNA from 1 species